UACGUAGGGUGCAAGCGUUAAUCGGAAUUACUGGGCGUAAAGCGUGCGCAGGCGGCUUUGCAAGACAGAUGUGAAAUCCCCGGGCUUAACCUGGGAACUGCAUUUGUGACUGCAUGGCUAGAGUGCGGCAGAGGGGGAUGGAAUUCCGCGUGUAGCAGUGAAAUGCGUAGAGAUGCGGAGGAACACCGAUGGCGAAGGCAGCCCCCUGGGCCAAUACUGACGCUCAGGCACGAAAGCGUGGGGAGCAAACAGG
rnacentral:rRNA from 1 species